GCUGUAGCAUAUGGCAGGGCAUAGACUAAAACUGGAAUGAUACACAGAAGAUUAGCAGGGCUGCUGCGCGAGAAUGGCGUGUAAUUUGGGGAAGCAAUCCCAGAAUGU